rnacentral:lncRNA from 1 species
AUGGCCGAUGAGAUUGACUGGCUGGACUUGCCCGGCCGGUGGACCUACGGAGUUGACCGCGGUGGGAGAGUCUUCUUCAUCAAUGAUGAGGAGAAAUCAACCUGCUGGGUGCAUCCUGGAACAGCAUCACCCAUCCAGAGUGGACACUCUUCCUGUCCAGGCAGGUGUUUGAGUGCUGAGAGAAUCUGCGCCCGUUUCCUAAUGUGUCAGCCACAGGGCUCUGGCAGCGGUGCCCGGCCUGCCUCCACCUCAUGCUGGAUUCCCUCGGGCUCCCGGAAAGCUCGUCCUCCUGUGCCGCAGUUGGCGGCGGCCUCUUUGAGAGGCAGGACUCGGCCAGGGUGGCUGUUUGGGGGCGCGGCAGAGCCAGAGGCUCCCGGAGCGCCCUGUGGAGCAGGAGGCGCAGAGCCUCCGGAGCUGUGCAGCAGGGGCUGCGCCCGCCUGGAGGGCGGCCUAGACGCCUUGCAGCCAAGGUCAGCUUCCUGAGCUA